UUCACAGUCAGGUCUGUGGUAAUCUUGUCAAAAAACAAAACAGAAACAAAUCUAGAUUAUAAAUCAACAUGUAACCAAAGCACUCUGUGUAUAACGCCAUAGUAUAGGAUGUAGUUCAGAAAAUGUCAAAGUAUAGUAUACUUUUCAAGAAUAACAUAGUAUGGCCUGUAGUUCAUAGUACAGCAUGUUGGCAAGAAAAAAACCCCAUAGAUUAUUAUGUGGUUCAAAAAACGCAAAAUGAUAGGAUGUUGCCUAAAAUUGUCAUGUAUGAUAUGUGGUUCAAAAAAUGUCAUAGUGCAGGAUAUUGUCAAAAUAGUAUGUAAUUCAAGAAAACAUCAGAGUAUAAUGUCAUCUAAAAAAUGCCAUAGAAUAAUAAUUUCAUUGCACAACUAAAAGUAUAGUAACUUUUAAAACUGUUCAAAUUCUUAUAUGUUGCUAAAAAACCCAAAAAACGUCACAGUAAUAUGUCAGUUAAAAAAGCCUAUAGUAUAGCAUGUUGCUCUAAAAACGUCAUAGUUUAGCCUUUGGUCCACAAAACGUUGUUGUGUCCCGGCUGUCUGAAGUAGGUAAGGAGCAACACAAUAACAGUCCAAACCCUGGUUUCCAGAGGAUUAGACGAGUAUUUAUUUGAAAGAGUAAGUUUACAACAACACAACAUGUGAGGGGGUUAAAAGCAAAUAGGUGUUAGUAAAAUAAAAAUAAAUAAACAGAACUAAAAGUGAACUUCAUGUUGACAUUGAUGGGCAUUCCAACCAGGAACAAAGUAAAAGAUAAUCAAUACGAAAAAAAACUCUUCCUGUUCACCUCUUAAAACCCAAAAACACACCGCAGUAGCACCCUAAACUAAAACUACCAAUGGGUUUCCUGUUUUCCUUUGUGAACAAUUCAAAGGUCCCUCUCUAUCUCCCCACACAUCCACCAACCACUGGAACACAUCUCCAAAGUUCUGCUGGACCAGCUCAGCUUCCCCUCAGAAGAAGUGCUGCCACCUGCCAGAUGAAGGAGCCUUUUGAGAGGCAGCUGGCAUCGUGAUUGGACUGUACUUUGGUCUGUUCCAAUCCAGCUUCAGCUCCAGAGACGGCAGGCGGGACGAGUCAACGGAGGCCGGAUGGACGAAGGCAUGCAGCUGAGUACAAUCCAGAAAACAACAGAGGAGGAGUGCAGCAGCCCAGAGCCAGAACAACCAGAGUAGCAUGACCAAAGAACUACAGACUCUUCACAACCUGCUCAAACUCUUGGUACAGGACCUCACCACACGGGUCAAGAAGGUUUCCGUCUCAUUUCUACUCUGAAGCUCACCUUCUCCUGCUCAAACUGCUGACAAAUGUUUCUGCUGCUCUAAAGUCUGGUCUCCAGAACUUCCUAAAAACUCUCAAAGUCUCUUCUGCUGCAGGUUGCUUUGUAGAACUGUUCCAGAAAACCUCACUAAACCACAUGGAGGAGCCUCAAGAUAGUCGUCCAAAUGAAACCAUACAAAAACCAAACUAGCACAACCCAAACGCUAAAGUCUCCUGCAGCCUACCAGAGAACCUCUGAGAACAGAGAAUCAGGACAGGAACUCUUACCUUCUGGACAACCAACGCUGGUUCUCAAACAAGAAUACAGAAUGUGUCUGACCAAAAACCUCUAAAGACUCACUACAGCCAAGAUAAAGACACAACUCAGCUGCACCAAAUCCACUAAUCACUGCACACAUUAGCACCAUGUGCUAACUGUGGCUAAAGAACCACAUUUACCAAGACAACUAUUCAGUACAAAGCCCUAAAACACACCAAGAAACACAUUAAAGAUGAUUUUACUGCUGGAAGCUGCAAGCCAACGCCUAAAGAACAAACUAAAGCAACAGAACCGAACCCGGUUCACUGGUGAAGAGAAACAGAGGAAAUGUUUGUCUGCAGCUAAACAAAGCAGGAAGACACUGAGCUGCUAAGGUGUUCCUGAUAACACCAAGCAGCCACCUGGACAGCCAAUAGGAACACAGCCACCUGGACAGCCAAUAGGAACACAGCUUACUGGAAGUCCAGAGAGCUGGCUUAGUCAAGGAAAUUUAGUUUAAAGUUGAAGCAGAAAGUUAACAAAGAAAGUUGAAAACCACCUUCUGAUACCUGAAAUCUCUGAGUUUUCACACAAAGAACACCUGAACACGUCAAACUGGUUCCAUAGUAGAACCAUCAUUGUAAAAACAUCAUAGUAUGGUGUGUUGCUCAAAAAACAUUAGGACCCGGCUGUCUAGGGUCGCAGAGGAGCAACACAAAAACAGGACAAACGCUGGUUUCCAGGGGGUUAGGAGGAUAUUUAUUUGAAAGAGAAAGUUUACAACAACACAACAUGUGAGCAGAAAAAUCACAAAGUCUGUCUUUAGUUAGUUUUUGUCUUUUUUAUUGACCAAACUUUUCAGGAAGUAGAUGAAGAAUAAUUAAAGUUCUCAUGUAGAGAAUGAAUGGUACCUGGCAGUAAAAACAAACUCAUCUGCUGGACUAAAUUUCCCAAAAUGAAACAUGGACAGAAUUUAACACUCAUGUAUCCAUGGCAACGCUAAAGUUUCUGCUUCUUACCAAAGUUCACAACACAAGUAAAGAUUUUAAUGUAAAAUUUCAGGGAUGACUGCUGACCAUAAGUAUUCUGAUCAAUACUUCAUGAUCAAUAUCAGGACAGAUGUUACAAUUCCAGCUGUUGCAUUAGACUGCAGUUAUUCACAGAGAAAUUAAAACAUCACAUUCCUCAUAAAAACUAGAUGAGACUUUUAUUAAAUAAAGUGUUGGUGAAUAAACAGUGUAAAAAGUGCAAAGCAGCUCCAUUAAAUCAGGAGAUGUGAGACUUCCACAGCAUGGAUCACCAUCUGCUGUGUUGAUUCAUAGCUGAAUGUCAGAAUGAACUGAGCUAGAAAAGCUGCUUUGAGCUGCAACAUUACAGUCUGACAAUCCAACACCAUCACAGUUUUCAUCUGGUUGUUUUGCUCCAACAUGCUGUGAAGUUCAGUUUUUACCUGAAUCAAUACAGAGAUUCUAUUUCCAACCAAGACUGGAAUAAAAAUUAGAAUAUUAUGAGGUUAUUAAUGCAACUAAAUCAUUUCAGAUGGAAGGAUUUACUUCUAAGUUCUAAUUUAAGUUUCAGUUGGAGCUCAUUGCAUUCACAAAGAAAAACAGCGAAACCUUCAUAGCAACAUUUAAUAAACCUAAAGCUUCCCUGUUGGCUCAUUGGUGGAGUUUGUUACUGAGCAUCUGAACCUUAAAUCCAGUGAGACGACCAUCUUCAGUCCAGGCCAGUCAGAGAACUUCAAGACCUUCCAUCAGCUGGACCAGAUGUGGCAUCAUCUCCCUCUGAACAUCUGGAUGACAGGAGAAAAGACAGAAAUCAAACACAGAUCACACAAAUACAAUUUAUUCACUUUCAUCAUUUUAUAAAAGUAGCAUGAACUUUAUUAAAACUUGACAACAUCAGUAAUGAAAGUAAAUGUUUUUAUCUCGUGUUGAAGCUAAAUUUAAAGUCAAUUUUAAUGACAGUUUAUCCUGAGAGGAGUGAGAAUGGAGCUUUUCUUUCCUUUUUAGAAUAUUCCCUCAAAAUAUUCUGUUUAUUAUUGGCUUUAGAAGCAUUUUUCUUAUUUUUAAAUACCUCAGACUGAUGCACUUUGCUGGUUUGCAGAUAAUUUCAUGUACAAUGACAAUAAAGAUCUUCUAUUCUCACAUAUUUUGCUGAAACAAGAACUGAAACCUUCUCAACCAUCUCUCAGUCUGCAAAAUUCCAACUGCAACAAAGAAUUAUCUGAUGUAGUUAUUAUUAUAGUCUUUACUGAACCAGCCCUGGAAUUAAUAAAAAUCUGUAUAUGGAUAUGAUUUUCUCUGAUGGAACCACUAAAACUGCAUACAAUAAAGUAAAUGUCUUCUGCACUGCA